rnacentral:sRNA from 1 species
AUCCUCGAUCUGUUGCGGGCAGAUGAAAUGGAUGUGGCUGUCGAACCCGCCCGCCGUCAGGAUCUUCCCUUCACCCGCGAUCGCCUCGGUCCCCGGUCCGACGAUGAUGUCGACACCCGGCUGCGUAUCGGGGUUGCCCGCCUUGCCGAUCUUGUGGAUGCGCCCAUCCCUCAGGCCCACAUCCGCCUUGUAGAUCCCCGUCCAGUCCACGAUCAGCGCGUUUGUGAUGACCGUGUCGACCGCGCCCUCGGCCCGGGUCGCCUGGCUUUGCCCCAUCCCGUCGCGGAU